rnacentral:misc_RNA from 1 species
AAGUCGUAACAAGGUUUCCGUAGGUGAACCUGCGGAAGGAUCAUUUCCAAAAAGAAUUUAGUCUCUAUAUACACCGAAUGGUGUGUGAAAAGUGACAAGUCUCUAAAUUACUCUCGAAGAGGAAGUGGAUGGGUGGAUAUAUACUACUCUAGUAGUAUUAUAUAUACACACUAAAACAAACUCUCUAAGAGAGGCCUUGAUGAACCCACAUCUUUGAAGGUGAAGCUAUGAGUCAAAUACUCUCUCUUCGUGAGACUGUAUUUUUCCAUCUCCAGCCUAAGAAGACGUUAACAAAAGAAAGUCUUGGUAUAUUUUUUCUCAAAAAGUGUAUAGAUAUGUUGGCACGAAGCGGCAUAUGUAUACAACAAAGUACAAAAAAAAAUAUAUUGACAACUUUUAACGGUGGAUCUCUUGGCUCGU